CAGCCGCCGCGGGAAUACGGAGGGAGCUAGCGUUGCUCGGAAUUACUGGGCGUAAAGCGCGCGUAGGCGGUUACUCAAGUCAGAGGUGAAAGCCCGGGGCUCAACCCCGGAACUGCCUUUGAAACUAGGUGACUAGAAUCUUGGAGAGGUCAGUGGAAUUCCGAGUGUAGAGGUGAAAUUCGUAGAUAUUCGGAAGAACACCAGUGGCGAAGGCGACUGACUGGACAAGUAUUGACGCUGAGGUGCGAAAGCGUGGGGAGCAAACAGGAUUAGAUACCCCCGUAGUCCCUGUCUCUUAUAC
rnacentral:rRNA from 1 species